ACAGUUAACCUUUCCCUCUACAGGUUACAGGUGAGCACAGUUAACCCUUCCCUCAACAGGUGAGCACAGUUAACCUUUCCCUCUACAGGUGAGCACAGUUAACCCCUCCCUCAACAGGUGAGCACAGUUAACCCUUCCCUCUACAGGUGAGCACAAUUAACCCUUCCCUCUACAGGUGAGCACAGUUAACCUUUCCCUCUACAGGUGAGCACAAUUAACCCUUCCCUCUACAGGUGAGCACAGUUAACCUUUCCCUCAACAGGUGAGCACAGUUAACCCCUCCCUCAACAGGUUACAGGUGAGCACAGUUAACCUUUCCCUCAACAGGUGAGCACAGUUAACCCUUCCCUCUACAGGUGAGCACAGUUAACCCUUCCCUCUACAGGUGAGCACAGUUAACCUUUCCCUCUACAGGUUACAGGUGAGCACAGUUAACCCUUCCCUCUACAGGUGAGCACAGUUAACCUUUCCCUCUACAGGUGAGCACAGUUAACCCUUCCCUCAACAGGUGAGCACAGUUAACCCUUCCCUCUACAGGUGAGCACAAUUAACCCUUCCCUCUACAGGUGAGCACAGUUAACCUUUCCCUCUACAGGUGAGCACAAUUAACCCUUCCCUCUACAGGUGAGCACAGUUAACCUUUCCCUCUACAGGUGAGCACAGUUAACC